rnacentral:rRNA from 1 species
GCUAUACAGCUAGCUUAAACACCUAAAUUACCAAACAACAUUACCACACCUAACAAAACCUUAUUACCCCAAAUUAAAACAUUCUCCCGCCCCAGUAUGUGAGACAGAAAAGGCCCUUCAUAGCAAUAAUACUAGUACCGCAAGGGAACGCUGAAAGAGAAAUGAAAUAAAUCAUAAAAGCAUAAUAAAGCAGAGACUAGCCCUCGUACCUUUUGCAUCAUGAUUUAGCUAGUUAUACUGAGCAAAGCGUACUUUAGUUCAGACCCCCGAAACUAAGUGAGCUACCCCGAGACAGCCUAUUAAUUAGGGCCAACCCGUCUCUGUGGCAAAAGAGUGGGAAGAUCCCCGGGUAGAGGUGACAGACCUACCGAACUUAGUUAUAGCUGGUUGCCUAAGAAAUGGAUAGAAGUUCAGCCUCACACUCCUUAACUCACACCCAUUAACUAAUACGAGCCAAAGAAACAUGUGAGAGUUAGUCAAAGGAGGUACAGCCCCUUUGAAAUAGGACACAACCUCAAUCAGGAGGUUAAAGAUUAUACUAAAUAAGAUACCCGCUCCAGUGGGCCUAAAAGCAGCCACCUGCACAGAAAGCGUUAAAGCUCCUGCGGACUAAAAUCCACUAUCCAAAUAUUUAAUCUAAAACCCCUAACAAUACUAGGCCCCCCCAUGCCCCCAUGGAAGAGAUACUGCUAAAAUGAGUAAUAAGAGGGACAACCCCCCUCUCCUCGGCCUACGUGUAUGCUAGAUCGGACCCACCACUAGCAAUUACCGAACCCAACCAAAGAGGGCAAUAUGACCUCACCAAACGACAAGCAAACCUCACACAAUCCCAUCGUUACCCCCACACCGGAAGGCCCAACUUCGAGGAAAGACUAAAAAAAAAGGAAGGAACUCGGCAAACACAAGCCCCGCCUGUUUACCAAAAACAUCGCCUCCUGCAAACAUCAACGUAUAGGAGGUCCCGCCUGCCCAGUGACAAGUUAAACGGCCGCGGUAUUUUGACCGUGCGAAGGUAGCGCAAUCACUUGUCUUUUAAAUGAAGACCUGUAUGAAUGGUAGAACGAGGGCUUAACUGUCUCCCUUUUUAAGUCAAUGAAAUUGAUCUGCCCGUGCAAAAGCGGACAUAACAAUACAAGACGAGAAGACCCUUUGGAGCUUAAGACUCCAGAUCAAUUAUGUCAAGAAUUUAAACCAAAUUAAACCAAAUAUUACCUGAUCCUAAUCUUUUGUUGGGGCGACCACGGGAAAAAACAAAACUCCCAUGAGGACUGGACCAACCUCCAGAACUAAGAAAGACAUCUCUAAGUCACAGAACCUCUGACCAUAAAGAUCCGGCCACCCGCCGACCAACGGACCAAGUUACCCUAGGGAUAACAGCGCAAUCCCCUUUCAGAGCCCAUAUCGACAAGGGGGUUUACGACCUCGAUGUUGGAUCAGGACAUCCUAAUGGUGCAGCCGCUAUUAAGGGUUCGUUUGUUCAACGAUUAAAGUCCUACGUGAUCUGAGUUCAGACCGGAGCAAUCCAGGUCAGUUUCUAUCUGUAAUGCUACUUUUCCCAGUACGAAAGGACCGGAAAAAGAGGGCCCAUAUUACUAAUACGCCCUACCCCAACUUAAUGACAACAACUUAAUUAAUUAAAGGGAGGGCAUCCCCCAUCCAUCAAGAUAAGAUU